CAAUAGCGUAUAUUAAAGUUGUUGCAGUUAAAAAGCUCGUAGUCGGAUUUCAGGUCGUCCUUGCCGGUCUGCCAAUGGGUAUGCACUGGUGAGCGCGGUCUUCCUGCCGGAGACUGUUCCAUUCUUCAUUGAGUGGUGCAGGACACGGCAUUUUUACUUUGAGAAAAUCAGAGUGUUCAAAGCAGGCCUUUGCCAUUGCAUGUGUUAGCAUGGGAUAAUGGAAUAGGACUUUGGUGCUAUUUUGUUGGUUUCGAACACCGAAGUAAUGAUUAAUAGGGAUAGUCAGGGGCACUCGUAUUCCGUAGAGAGAGGUGAAAUUCUUAGACCCACGGAAGACGAACUACUGCGAAAGCAUUUGCCAGGGAUGUUUUCACUGAUCAAGAACGAAAGUUAGGGGAUCGAAGACGAUUAGAUACCGU
rnacentral:rRNA from 1 species